rnacentral:rRNA from 1 species
UAGGGAAUCUUCCGCAAUGGACGCAAGUCUGACGGAGCAACGCCGCGUGAUUGAAGAAGGAUUUCGGUUCGUAAAACUCUGUUGUUAGAGAAGAACAGCGCAUAGAGUAACUGUUAUGCGUGUGACGGUAUCUAACCAGAAAGCCACGGCUAACUACGUGCCAGCAGCCGCGGUAAUACGUAGGUGGCAAGCGUUGUCCGGAUUUAUUGGGCGUAAAGCGAGCGCAGGCGGUCAAUUAAGUCUGAUGUGAAAGCCCCCGGCUCAACCGGGGAGGGUCAUUGGAAACUGGUUGACUUGAGUGCAGAAGAGGAGAGUGGAAUUCCAUGUGUAGCGGUGAAAUGCGUAGAUAUAUGGAGGAACACCAGUGGCGAAGGCGACUCUCUGGUCUGUAACUGACGCUGAGGUUCGAAAGCGUGGGUAGCAAACAGG